UACAGAGGAGCCAAGCGUUGUCCGGAUUGACUGGGCGUAAAGCGCACGCAGGCGGUUGCGCGCGUGGGGUGUGAAAUCUGGCCGCUUAACGGCCAGGCGCCAUCCCAUACGGCGCGACUGGAGGCUUGCAGAGGUCGGUGGAAUUCCCGGUGUAGUGGUGAAAUGCGUAGAGAUCGGGAGGAACACCCGUGGCGAAAGCGGCGUGCUGGAUCCCUUCUGACGCUGAGGCGCGAAAGCCAGGGGAGCGAACGGGG
rnacentral:rRNA from 1 species